GCCCUUCCAAAUCCGGUUCGUGCCUCUUAUAUUCGGAGUGUUCCGGAAACGGAACUAUGGACAUAAACGCGCUCGCAAUAAGCGGAUCGGACCCGGGGGCGGUACCCGGCGGCUCCACCAGGAACCCUGUCGUUGGAAGGGUAUGCGGGGCCGAAACAGGAUCGACGGACGCCUAAAGGGGUUUGCUUUGUCUCGGUGAGGCACCACCGAUAUCGGUCCAAUCUGCAUAGUUGCCAACGACAACCGUGCUCCGGUGCUUCUCGCUGCGUAAGCGGUGCGAAAAUCCGAAACUCAAGUCCUUGCGCCUAGCCGCGCCAGGCGGGGUCCGCCGGAACCUGGCAACAGAAUCCGGCACU
rnacentral:tmRNA from 1 species